ACUCGAGCGAAGCGAGAGAACGUUGCGUCAGCAACGGCCCGCAGGGCGAGUCACGCAGUGGCGAGUCAUCCUCUAUCACCGACCA
rnacentral:sRNA from 1 species